rnacentral:rRNA from 1 species
GGGAAGUAAGUAUUAUUGGCUGAUAGUUAAUAUUUUAUUUUUAUUAAAAUUUGAAUUUUUGGGUGAAAUUUUAAUUUUUUAAUAUUUAUGUUUGAUGAAGCUAUGAAAUUUAUGUGAAAGACAAGGAUUAGAUACCCUUUUAUUAUAAAUGUAAAUUUUUGGUCAGGGUAGUAAUAGUUAUGUUCUUGAAACCCAAAGAAUUUGGCGGUAUUUUAGUCCUUUCAGAGGAAUCUGUCCCAUAAUCGACAUUCCACGAGAUAAUUUACUUAUUUUUGUUUUCAGUUUGUAUACCUCCGUCAUAAGGGAAUCUUUUUAGAGUUUAAUUUUCUUAAUAUAUAAAGUAUAUUAUGUCAGGUCAAGGUGCAAUUUAUGGAUAAGUGGAGAUGGAUUACAAUAAAUUUAUUUAAACGGAGUAAAUUAUUUAUAAUUUUUAUAAAGGUGGAUUUGACAGUAAUUUUGAUUAUUUGUUAUUGUGAUUUUGGCUCUAAAAUAUGCACACAUCGCCCGUCGCUCUCAUUUUUAAAAUGAGAUAAGUCGUAACAUAGUAGGUGUAUCGGAAGAUGUGCCUAGUAAGU